UAAGGUCUGACCUGCCCACUGAAAUUAUUUUAAAUGGCCGCAGUAAUUUGACUGUGCAAAGGUAGCAUAAUCAUUAGUUUUUUAAUUAAAAGCUUGUAUGAAGGGUUGGACGAGAUAAAAUCUGUCUCUAUUUAAUUUAUUAUAAAAUUUAAUUUUUAAGUUAAAAAGCUUAAAUUUUUUUAAAAGACGAGAAGACCCUAUAGAUCUUUAUAGUUUUGAUUUUGAGUUUAAUUAAUAAAUUUUUAUGAUUUAUAAUUUAAACUAUUUUAUUGGGGUAAUAGAAAGAUUAAAAUAAUUCUUUUUUUCUUUAAACAUUUAUUUAUGUUUUUAAUGAUCCAAUUUUAUUGAUUAUAAGAUUAAGUUACCUUAGGGAUAACAGCGUAAUUUUUUUAGAGAGUUCUUAUCGAUAAAAAAGUUUGCGACCUCGAUGUUGGAUUAAAGAUUAGUUUAGGUGUAGAAGUUUAAAUUUUUGGUCUGUUCGACCAUUAAAUCUUUACAUGAUCUGAGUUCAGACCGGCGUAAGCCAGGUCGGUUUCUAUCUUUAAUAAUUUUAAAAUAUUUUAGUACGAAAGGACCAAAUAUUUAAUAUAUUUAUAUUUAAUUUUUUGAAUAUUAUUAAAAAUUAUUUUGGCAGAAUAGUGCAAUGAAUUUAGAAUUCAUAAAUGUAAUUUUAUUACAAAUAAUACUUGUUUUUUUUAGAUGUAAUUUUUUCUUUAGUAUGUAUAUUUUUAUUAAUUAUUUGUGUUUUAGUUGGAGUUGCUUUUUUAACAUUAUUAGAGCGAAAGGUUUU
rnacentral:rRNA from 1 species